rnacentral:rRNA from 1 species
UGCGGUCGAACGGUGGAGCCCAGCUUGCUGGGUGGAUCAGUGGCGAACGGGUGAGUAACACGUGAGCAGUCUGCCCCUGACUCUGGGAUAAGCGCUGGAAACGGCGUCUAAUACUGGAUAUGAGCUGCGAUCGCAUGGUCAGUAGCUGGAAAGAUUUUUUGGUCAGGGAUGAGCUCGCGGCCUAUCAUCUUGUUGGUGAGGUAAUGGCUCACCAAGGCGUCGACGGGUAGCCGGCCUGAGAGGGUGACCGGCCACACUGGGACUGAGACACGGCCCAGACUCCUACGGGAGGCAGCAGUGGGGAAUAUUGCACAAUGGGCGCAAGCCUGAUGCAGCAACGCCGCGUGAGGGAUGACGGCCUUCGGGUUGUAAACCUCUUUUAGCAGGGAAGAAGCGAAAGUGACGGUACCUGCGGAAAAAGCGCCGGCUAACUACGUGCCAGCAGCCGCGGUAAUACGUAUGGCGCAGGCGUUAUCCGGAAUUAUUGGGCGUAAAGAGCUCGUAGGCGGUUUGUCGCGUCUGCUGUGAAAUCCCGAGGCUCAACCUCGGGUCUGCAGUGGGUACGGGCAGACUAUAGUGCGGUAGGGGAGAUUGGAAUUCCUGGUGUACCGGUGGAAUGCGCAGAUAUGAAGAGGAACACCGAUUGCGAACGCUGAUCUCUGGGCCGUAACUGACGCUGAGGAGCGAAAGGGUGGGGAGCAAACACGCUUAGAUACCCUGGUAGUCCACCCCGUAUACGUUGGGAACUAGUUGUGGGGUCCAUUCCACGGAUUCCGUGACGCAGCUACGCAAUCAGAUCCCCCGCCCUGGGGAGUACGUCGGCACGU